UACAGGGGGUGCAAACGUUGCUCGAAAUCAUUGGGCGUAAAGCGCACGUAGGCGGUUCGUUAUGUCGGAUGUGAAAGCCCUUGGCUUAACCGAGGAAGUGCAUCCGAAACUGGCGAGCUAGAGUACGAAAGAGGAUCGCGGAAUUCCCGGUGUAGAGGUGAAAUUCGUAGAUAUCGGGAGGAACACCGGUGGCGAAGGCGGCGAUCUGGGUCGAUACUGACGCUGAGGUGCGAAAGCGUGGGGAGCAAACAGG
rnacentral:rRNA from 1 species